CCCAGCAUCGUUAGCUCCGUGGCCUAGGCGACCCCGUCUCCAGGCAACCGGCAGGAGUGGCGAGGCGUUGAAAGGAUUGCAGGUGAUUGCAGCAGCGGCAGAAUCAGCAGCAGCAUCAGCAGAGGCAGGACCAGAGGUGCUUUACUGGGACGGUUCAACAACAUUGGAAGAGUUUGCUUUUCGACAUCAGGAUAAUUCACAUCAGUGAAAGUGCAAAGGAAUCAAACUGCUGUUCCUGGCACACUUUGGUGUGAAGUAACAAGAAAUUACAGCGGCUGAACACGACAAGGACAAACACAGCGGACAUGUCUACAGUAAAAUAAAAAUGUCAACAUGAUGGAAAACAGUACAAUAAAAAAGCACGA